GUGGGGAAUAUUGGACAAUGGGCGAAAGCCUGAUCCAGCCAUGCCGCGUGUGUGAAGAAGGUCUUCGGAUUGUAAAGCACUUUAAGUUGGGAGGAAGGGCAGUAAGUUAAUACCUUGCUGUUUUGACGUUACCGACAGAAUAAGCACCGGCUAACUUCGUGCCAGCAGCCGCGGUAAUACGAAGGGUGCAAGCGUUAAUCGGAAUUACUGGGCGUAAAGCGCGCGUAGGUGGUUUUGUAAGUUGGAGGUGAAAUCCCCGGGCUCAACCUGGGAAAUGCCUUCAAAACUGGAUGACUAGAGUAAGGUAGAGGGUAGUGGAAUUUCCUGUGUAGCGGUGAAAUGCGUAGAUAUAGGAAGGAACACCAGUGGCGAAGGCGACUACCUGGACUGAUACUGACACUGGGGUGCGAAAGCGUGGGGAGCAAACAGGAUUAGAAACCCGGGUAGUCC
rnacentral:rRNA from 1 species